rnacentral:rRNA from 1 species
UACGGAGGGUGCAAGCGUUAAUCGGAAUUACUGGGCGGAAAGCGUGCGCAGGCGGUUUGUUAAGUCUGCUGUGAAAUCCCCGAGCUCAACCUGGGAACUGCGUUUGGUACUGGCAAGCUAGAGUACGGCAGAGGGGGGUGGAAUUCCACGUGUAGCAGUGAAAUGCGUAGAGAUGUGGAGGAACACCGAUGGCGAAGGCAGCCCCCUGGGCCGAUACUGACGCUCAGGCACGAAAGCGUGGGGAGCAAACAGG